CCUUGCACCGGAAAAGGGGGUUGAGGUGGCAGUGGAAAUUGAGAGUGAAGAUGGAGAAGAAGGUGAUGUUGUAGAUAUUGAUCCAAAGAUCAGGUUGAUGUAUUCAGCUAAUGAGGGUGAUAUAGAGGGGAUCAAGGAUCUUUUGGAGUUAGGGACUAAUGUAAACUUUCGAGACAUUGAUGAGAGGACUGCACUGCAUGUUGCUGCUUGCCAAGGUUACAGUGAUGUUGUGAAGCUGUUGCUUGAUAAUGGGGCUGAAAUUGAUCCCAAAGAUCGAUGGGCUUUUGGAGUUAGGUACUAAUGUAAACUUUCGAGACAUUGAUAAGAGGACUGCACUGCAUGUUGCUGCUUGCCAAGGUUACAGUGACGUUGUGAAGCUGUUGCUUGAUAAUGGGGCUGAAAUUGAUCCCAAAGAUCGGUGGGGAAGCACGGUAUUUCUCAUGAAACUAGUUUAAUUAGCAUAUAAUUUUUGGUUAUUUCUACUGAUUGGUAAUUUGGCAUAGCUAGAUGAUAUUGGAUUAAGAUUAUGCUUUUCUAUUGUUUGUUAGAAUCAUCAUUUUUUCAGAAAAAAGUCUGUGAAUGUAUCUUUAUUAGUGAAAUAGAUUUUUCUUAAGCUAUUAGAAGAUGUGGAUGUGAUGUUGAAUAUUCGUGACUUUGUUUUUCUUUCCAAAUUUAUUCCGGAUAAUUGUGGGCUUGAGGUAAUUCUCAGAUGGCAUGUGUUGUUGUCCUUUGUUCACUCUGUUUACAUUGAUAUGUAUUAAUCGAGUGCACACUUGAUCGAUUGAUGGUACUUUUGCCGUUGGCAUUUUGCUUGACGAGUAGUAUUUGCCCUUCCAUUUGCCUCAUCUUGCCUUUAUGGUAGUUUGCCUUGUUAAAUGGCACAAUAUGGUCAAGCACUUAUACUAAAAAAGGCCUUGGUGGAUGUUAAUACCCUUAUAUGUCAUGUGAAUAUUGUAAAAUAAGGAACUAUAUCAGCUUAAGAUAUUUCAAGGGUCCUAAAGCUCACUGAUAUCUGUUCCUUGUGAGAGGAGAAAGCAUUUGUAUGGUGAGCUAUUAUAGUCUUUUUGUUUAUAUGAUCAAUGUCUACCGUCCUAAAGUUAUAUUUAUACUUUUAGUCUCCAAAACCACAAUAAGGUUUACAUAUGAAGACUUGACAGGUUUUUUUCUUUCUUUAAGAAGCUUUAUGUCAUUUCACACAAAUAUGCAGUGCAAUGAAAAAGUUGUUUUAUAUGGAUGUUAUGUUUGUAACAUUCGAGGAACUUCAAAUUGAUCGUCAAGGAGCUGGUAGCCAAAGUGUUUUUGACUAAAACAGUUUACACAUUGGUUAGAUUUGAAUCUUUAAGCAAGCUUGAGUCUUCUAGUUCCUCAUUAUUCUAUACAUAACAAUUAUUUGUAGAAAUGAUUCAGUUAUUAAAAAGACGUCUUGAAAAUAAAAUCUACUUUUAUCAAAUGAGUUGUGUACAUUAUGAAGUUUAUUUGCUAAUGAUUGCUGCAAAGAUUAAAAUAACACUCGGGGCUUGAUCUGAUUUAGAGAACCUCAGCUUCUAUUAGUUUCUUCUCCUGGUCCGAGUUCCUCAAUCCCAUCUUGUACAUACUGUUAGAUUAUCUAGAGCUACUUCAAUUUGCUUAGGCAUCACUUCAGUGGUAUACUUUUAGUCCGACAGUUGUUAUACUUGUAUACAAAUGAUUUGUAGGUCAUAAUAUCUGUACAAUUUCACGUAGACCUGAGAAUUGCAGUUCCCAGUUGUUUUACUUACACCUCCCUUUUGCAUUGAGGG
rnacentral:lncRNA from 1 species